rnacentral:rRNA from 1 species
UACGUAGGGGGCAAGCGUUAUCCGGAUUUACUGGGUGUAAAGGGAGCGUAGACGGCAGUGCAAGUCUGGAGUGAAAGGCGGGGGCUCAACCCCCGGACUGCUCUUGGAACUGCGUGGCUGGAGUGCAGGAGGGGCAGGCGGAAUUCCUGGUGUAGCGGUGAAAUGCGUAGAUAUCAGGAGGAACACCGGUGGCGAAGGCGGCCUGCUGGACUGCAACUGACGUUGAGGCCCGAAAGCGUGGGGAGCAAACAGG